AUUGAACGCUGGCGGCAUGCCUUACACAUGCAAGUCGAACGGAUUGAGGGGCUUGCUCCUCAGUUAGUGGCGAACGGGUGAGUAAUGCAUCGGAACGUACCCAGUCGUGGGGGAUAACUACUCGAAAGAGUAGCUAAUACCGCAUACGCCCCGAGGGGAAAGCGGGGACUCGCAAGAGCCUCGCGCGAUUGGAGCGGCCGAUGUCAGAUUAGCUAGUUGGUAGGGUAAAAGCCACCAAGGCGACGAUCUGUAGCUGGUCUGAGAGGACGACCAGCCACACUGGGACUGAGACACGGCCCAGACUCCUACGGGAGGCAGCAGUGGGGAAUUUUGGACAAUGGGGGCAACCCUGAUCCAGCAAUGCCGCGUGAGUGAAGAAGGCCUCGG
rnacentral:rRNA from 1 species